UUGAACAAGAUGGAGAAGCAGGGCACGUGCAAUACUAACUCUUACGAACCAAGAGAGUCGUACAUUUUAUUUUGUGUUUAGCAGCGUUCAACAUGUAAUCAUUGUUGAAUGAGUGUUUUAAAUCCGAUUUCUGACGUAAUGAAUUGUAGGUGUAGUUAGUCCUUCAUGUGCCCUUCUUCGCCAUCUUGAUAGC
rnacentral:pre_miRNA from 2 species